AGUGAACGCUGGCGGUAGGCCUAACACAUGCAAGUCGAACGGCAGCACAGUAAGAGCUUGCUCUUACGGGUGGCGAGUGGCGGACGGGUGAGGAAUACAUCGGAAUCUACUUUUUCGUGGGGGAUAACGUAGGGAAACUUACGCUAAUACCGCAUACGACCUACGGGUGAAAGCAGGGGAUCUUCGGACCUUUCGCGAUUGUAUGAGCCGAUUUCGGAUUAGCUAGUUGGCGGGGUAAAGGCCCACCAAGGCGACGAUCCGUAGCUGGUCUGAGAGGAUGAUCAGCAACACUGGAACUGAGACACGGUCCAGACUCCUACGGGAGGCAGCAGUGGGGAAUAUUGGACAAUGGGCGCAAGCAUGAUACAGCCAUACCGCGUGGGUGAAGAAGGCCUUCGGGUUGUAAAGCCCUUUUGUUGGGAAAGAAAAGCAGCAGGUUAAUACCCCGCUGUUCUGACGGUACCCAAAGAAUAAGCACCGGCUAACUUCGUG
rnacentral:rRNA from 1 species